GUGACGAGAGCCAGGUGCCAGGGUGGAUGUGCUGCAGGGCUGCUGUGUACAUGAGUGUGUGUGUGUGUAUGAUGCGUCGUCCAGCUCUUGUCACAUAGAAAGCCUGAAGCCUACUUUGGGGGAGCCCCUUGGGGAGUGAGACUACCCACCACCGAGGGCCUGUGCUGGGCACAAAACAAAUGUGGGAGCCAUUUCGCAGAUGGGGAAACUGAAGUCCGAGUUUCACAACUGUCAAGUGGGCACAAAGCAGGCUGGGGAGGAGAAGGCAUUGCCUGGAGUUACCUGGGGGAGACAUCACAAGAGGCUGUGAAGGAGAGAAGCUAAUUCCUGGGCAAACAUCACGGACAGGUGGCAGAGACUGGGUUCCAGCCAUCCCUGCACUGUCCCACCUUGCCUCGACCUUGACCCUGGGGCCAG